rnacentral:rRNA from 1 species
AUUCCGGUUGAUCCUGCCGGAGGCCAUUGCUAUUGGAGUCCGAUUUAGCCAUGCUAGUCGAGCGGGCUCAGACCCGCGGCGAAAAGCUCAGUGACACGUGGCCAAACUCCCCUGUGGAGACGGACACCCUCGGGAAACUGAGGCUAACCCGUCACACCGCUCCCACGCUGGAAUGCCGGGAGCCCGAAACGCUUCGGCGCCACAGGAUGUGGCUGCGGCCGAUUAGGUAGACGGUGGGGUAACGGCCCACCGUGCCAAUAAUCGGUACGAGUUGUGAGAGCAAGAGCUCGGAGACGGAAUCUGAGACAAGAUUCCGGGCCCUACGGGGCGCAGCAGGCGCGAAACCUUUACACUGCACGACAGUGCGAUAGGGGGAUUCCGAGUGCGAGGGCAUACAGUCCUCGCUUUUCUGUACCGUAAGGUGGUACAGGAAUAAGGGCUGGGCAAGACCGGUGCCAGCCGCCGCGGUAAUACCGGCAGCCCGAGUGAUGGCCGAUCUUAUUGGGCCUAAAGCGUCCGUAGCU